CGUCCGUGCAGCAGUGGAGGACUCUGGAUUAGCGCUGAAGCAUGCUGCGGCGGCUCUGCGGA
rnacentral:SRP_RNA from 1 species